GACGGGCGUGGGGUCACAUACCUAUAGUCCCAGCUACUUGGGAGGCUGAGGCGGGAGGAUCACUUGAACCUAGGGGUGCUGGGCUGGAGUACACUAUGCCUAUCGUGUGCCCAUACUAACUUUGGCAUCAACUUGGUGACCUCCCAGGAGCAGGGGACCACCAGGUUGCCUAAGGAGGGGUGAAUCAGCCCAGGUCAGAAACAGCAGGUCAAAACUCAUGCUGAUCAGCAGUGGGAUGGUGCCUGUGAACAGCCACUGCACUCCAGGCUGGGCAAUACCCCAUCUCUC
ensembl:misc_RNA Metazoa_SRP Metazoan signal recognition particle RNA